CAGUGGAAGAAUGCUCGCCUCCCACGCGGGCGGCCCGGGUCCGAUUCCCGGCCACCGCA
rnacentral:tRNA from 1 species